GAGGGAGUCUUGCUUGAGCGGGUCUCCUUAUGGGCUUGCAAAGGUGCUUCCCUGUGCUAGUGUGUUGGCGGUAGCACCUGCUGGACUAUCCCAACCCUGGGCAAGGCUCAAAGAUACUGAAAUCUGCCUGGCUCCAAAUACUUUGUAAGCCAGAGGAUGAGUAACCAGCAGGUAUGAGAGGUUGAAUAUUCUGCUUUGCUACAAACCUGGGUAGAGAUCACGUCCCUUUCUGUAGGUUGGAGCCAAGGAGCAUAAUGAGUACAAGAAAGCGUCGUGGUAGAACAGUAAGUUCUAGACAAGCCCAGAAGUGAACCCAGGAAGCAGCCUCCACCCCUGAGAUUUCCUUGGAAGCAGAACUCAUAGAACUUGUGGAAACUGCAGGAGAUGAAAUCGUGGACCUCACCUAUGAGUCUUUAGAGCCUGUGGUGGACCAGACUCACAAUGACUCUGUUGUGAUUGUUCACGAAGGAGAAGGCCCAGGAGGAACGCAGGAGGCUGCGCCAAGACCAUGCCAACAGCUGCGUGGUGGGCAGUGAUGACGAGGAGUUGUCCAGGGACAGAGAUGUGUUUGGGACCACCCACACUCCCAGAAACACCAAGGAGGAAAGGACCACAGGGCUCAGGCCCUCUGGUACUGUCAGUUGUCCCAUCUGCAUGCAGAUACUCAGAGACUGUGCACGAUGGACGUCUCAUUGUCUCUACAGAGUGUG
rnacentral:lncRNA from 1 species